GCCUGGUUAGCUCAAUCGGUAGAGCGUGAGACUCUUAGUAUUCACAGUUCUGUCAAACACGAUUGGAAUUCAAAGCAAUCUCAAGGUUGCGGGUUCGACCCCCGCAUCGGGCU
rnacentral:tRNA from 1 species